UGAGGCUGCUGGCUCCGGGAGGGACCUGCCCACCGCCCUACUCUUAAUAAUGAUGCGCUUGGAGGAUUGGGGAUCUGGUGUUUUGGAGGGCAGAUCUGCACUCUGAGGCUAGGAAAUGGACAAGGGUGGAACUCAGGUCCCCGUGCACCUUUGGAGGACAACAGCGAGGCCUCUGCAAAGUACUGGGAGAAGAGUGAGCGAUGCAGAGAAGUGCUAACCCAACCGGGGGCAGGUCCUGAAAAGACACCGGAAGCUGAGUGUUGAGGUUGGCUGUUGGCUCAGGAAACAGCUGGAAGGAUCUUCAGAAUCUGCAGCUGCAGGACCGGGCACAACAGAAACCUCUGACAACAUCCUGUCAACAAUAUGGCUAAUCUUGGUCAUCAACAUGAUUGAAUCUAGAAUUCAUCUCUGGGAUUACCAACCGGAUCAACUGUUUCCAAUCGUGACAAUUUCCAGAGAUUUUCCUGUAGAGAAAUGAAAUCUUAUUUGCCACAAGAUGGAUGGGCUGAAGACAUUAAGUGAGAUAAACCAGACACAGAAGGACAGCAUGCUAUCUCUUUAUGUGGAAGCA